rnacentral:rRNA from 1 species
AGAGUUUGAUCAUGGCUCAGGAUGAACGCUAGCUACAGGCUUAACACAUGCAAGUCGAGGGGAAACGACAUCGAAAGCUUGCUUUUGAUGGGCGUCGACCGGCGCACGGGUGAGUAACGCGCAUCCAACCUGCCCACCACUUGGGGAUAACCUUGCGAAAGUAAGACUAAUACCCAAUGACGUCUCUAGAAGACAUCUGAAAGAGAUUAAAGAUUUAUCGGUGAUGGAUGGGGAUGCGUCUGAUUAGCUUGUUGGCGGGGUAACGGCCCACCAAGGCGACGAUCAGUAGGGGUUCUGAGAGGAAGGUCCCCCANAUUGGAACUGAGACACGGUCAAACUCCUACGGGAGCA